AAAUUGAAAAAAAGAACUGAAGAGAGUGGGAUUCGAACCCACGCCCCCGAAGGUACUGGUGCCUUAAACCAGCGCCUUA
ensembl:ncRNA F08F1.16 ncRNA